rnacentral:rRNA from 1 species
CGUGCCUAACACAUGCAAGUCGAGCGAUGAAAGAGAAGUGGCGGUCUUCGGACCAAAUCAUUUCUGGAUUAGCGGCGGACGGGUGAGUAACACGUGAGCAACCUGCCUAUCACAUCGGGAUAGCCUCGGGAAACUGGGAUUAAUACCGAAUGAAACAUAUUGAUAACCUUAUCGAAAUGUCAAAGAUUUAUCGGUGAUAGAUGGGCUCGCGUCUGAUUAGCUAGUUGGUGAGAUAAAACCCCCCCAAGGCAAUGAUCAGUAGCCGGCCUGAGAGGGUGAUCGGCCAUAUUGGGACUGAAACACCGCCCAAUCUCCUACGGGAGGCAGGAGGGGGGAAUAUUGCACGGUGGAGGGAACUCUGAUGCAGCCACCGCCGCGUGAGUGAAGAAAUUAUUCCGAUAUGUAAAACCUCUGUCCUAGAGGGAAGAACAUGACGGUACUCUAAGAGGAAGCCCCGGCUAACUACGUGCCAGCAGCCGCGGUAAUACGUAGGGGGCAAGCGUUAUCCGGAAUUAUUGGGCGUAAAGCGUGCGCAGGCGGCCAAAAAGGUCAGAGGUGAAAGACAGGGGCUUAACCCCUGCGAGCCUUUGAAACCAUUUGGCUUGAGCAUAGGAGGGGAAAGUGGAAUUUCUAGUGUAGCGGUGAAAUGCGUAGAGAUUAGAAGGAACACCGGUGGCGAAGGCGACUUUCUGGACUAUGUCUGACGCUGAGGCACGAAAGCGUGGGUAGCGAACAGGAUUAGAUACCCUGGUAGUCCACGCCGUAAACGAUGAGUAAAGGUGUUGGAGGGUCUCCCCCCUUCAGUGCCGGAGGUAACCCAAAAAGCACUCCGCCUGGGGGAGUACGGCCGCAAGGCUGGAACUCAAAGAAAUUGACGGGGGCCCGCACAAGCGGUGGAGCAUGUGGUUUAAUUAGACGCAACGCGAGGAACGGUUACCAGCUCUUGACAUCUUCUGUUCACUUUAGAGAUAGAGCUUCCCCUUCGGGGGCAGAAUGACAGGUGGUGCAUGGUUGUCGUCAGCUCGUGUCGUGAGAUGUUGGGUUAAGUCCCAUAACGAGCGCACACCCUUAUUGUUAGUUGCCAGCAUUCAGUUGGGCACUCUAGCGAGACUCCCGGCGAUAAACCGGAGGAAGGGGGGGAUGACGUCAAAUCAUCAUGCCCCUUAUGAGCUGGGCUACACACGUGCUACAGUGGACGGUACAACGGGUAGCGAGGGCGCGAGCCUUAGCAAAUCCUAAUAAGCCGUUCUCAGUUCGGAUUGUUCUCUGCAACUCGAGAGCACGAAGCCGGAAUCGCUAGUAAUCGCGGAUCAGAAUGCCGCGGUGAAUACGUUCCCGGGUCUUUACACACCGCCCGUCA